rnacentral:rRNA from 1 species
GACAUAGGUGGCAAACGUUAUCCGGAAUUAUUGGGCGUAAAGGGUGUGUAGGUGGUCAUAUUAGUCUUUUGUUAAAUUCUUCGGCUUAACCGGGGGCAUGCAAAGGAAACGGUAUGACUUGAGGAUGCGAGAGGUACAUGGAACUCAUGGAGUAGGGGUGAAAUCCGUUGAUAUCAUGGGGAACACCAAAAGCGAAGGCAAUGUACUGGCGCACUCCUGACACUGAAACACGAAAGCGUAGGUAGCGAAUGGG